rnacentral:lncRNA from 1 species
GCUUUGCAUUGUAUCCUGCGACACUCAGUUACUAGUGAUGUGAGCCUGGAAAAGUUCCUUGCCUUUGGGGCUUCAGUUUCCAUUUUAGUAAACUUCGUAGGAUUGCUAUGAAGAUUAAAGCAUGUGGAUAAGCCACGUAAAGUGCUUGAAACAGUGCUUACAAAAGAGUGAGCACUCAGCAGGGGCUAUUUCUGAUGAUGAUGAUGAUUGUUGUUAUAUUUAAUUUGGAGAGGCAUAAAUAACUGGCAAAAUUAGGAAAGCAAUCAAGAGGGGUAUAUGCUUGAGGCAAAUUGGUUCUGACCAGGUUUUGAAUGCUGAGAUUAUCUGAAGAACAAGAGACACAUCCAGUCUACCUCAUUGAGCCAACAUUAAAGAACAAAGGGAACAGAUAAAUUGGAAAUAUUAAUACAUGGACGCCGUGGUUGAACCUUGGGGAUGCCACUGAAAAGAUUCAGAGAGCAGUGUGGUAAGUGAUCCCUGAGAUAAAUGAAUAGAAAAUCAAGGAAAAAUUAAGAGGAAAAAUCAUGGAAGGCAUAUGAUGGACCAGGAUGCAUUUCCAUAAGGCAGGGUGAGAAGACCUAUGUCUUCAGAAAUUUAAGAGAAAUAUGUCUUCAAAGGCAAAGUCCACCAAGAUGCUCAGUAUAAAAAAGCAGCACCUAUUGCGUAAGAAGCAGAAAAGAAGCUUGACUUUUCCAAUUCUGAAAGAUGAUGGAAAGAGUUGA